rnacentral:rRNA from 1 species
GAUGAACGCUGGCGGCGUGCCUAAUACAUGCAAGUCGAACGAAGUGAAAGGAAGCUUGCUUUCUUGAACUUAGUGGCGAACGGGUGAGUAAUACAUAAGCAAUCUACCCCUAUGCCUGGGAUAACAGUUGUAAACGACUGCUAAUACCGGAAAGGUCUAUUGCGGACAUCCUUGAUAGAUUAAAGAUGGGCUACAUCACAAAGGGAUGAGCUGAUGGCGCAUUAGCUAGUUGGUGAGGUAACGUCUCACCAAGGCUAUGAUGCGUAGCCGACCUGAGAGGGUGACCGGCCACACUAGGACUGAGACACGGCCCAGACUCCUACGGGAGGCAGCAGUGGGGAAUUUUGGACAAUGGGGGCAACCCUGAUCCAGCCAUUCCGCGUGAGUGAAGAAGGCCUUCGGGUUGUAAAGCUCUUUCGGCAGGAACGAAACGGCGAGCUCUAACAUAGCUUGCUAAUGACGGUACCUGAAGAAGAAGCACCGGCUAACUACGUGCCAGCAGCCGCCGUAAUAC